rnacentral:rRNA from 1 species
UACGGGGGGGGCAAGCGUUGUUCGGAAUUACUGGGCGUAAAGGGCUUGUAGGUGGCCAACUAAGUCAGACGUGAAAUCCCUCGGCUUAACCGGGGAACUGCAUCUGAUACUGGAUGGCUAGAGAUUGGGAGAGGGAUGCGGAAUUCCAGGUGUAGCGGUGAAAUGCGUAGAUAUUCGCAAGAACACCAGUGGCGAAGGCGGCUCACUGGCCCGAUACUGACGCUGAGGCACGAAAGCGUGGGGAGCAAACAGG